GGGAUUAUAGUUAAAUAUAACAUUUAAUUUGCAUUUAAAAAGUAUCAUCAUUGAUUAAUCUCA
rnacentral:tRNA from 1 species